GUGGGGAAUAUUGGGCAAUGGAUGCAAGUCUGACCCAGCCAUCCCGCGUGCCGGAAGAAGGCCCUCAGGGUUGUAAACGGCUUUUGACGGUGAAGAAUCGACAGGAUGCGUCCUGUUUUGACGGUAGCCGUUGAAUAAGCACCGGCUAACUCCGUGCCAGCAGCCGCGGUAAUACGGAGGGUGCGAGCGUUGUCCGGAUUUAUUGGGUUUAAAGGGUGCGUAGGCUGGAAGGUCAGUCAGCGGUGAAAAGCUGUCGCUUAACGAUAGUCUUGCCGCAGAUACUUCCUUUCUUGGAUGAGGAGGAGGCCACUGGAACGGAUGGUGUAGCGGUGAAAUGCAUAGAUAUCAUCCAGAACACCGAUUGCGAAGGCAGGUGGCUGUACCUUAAUCGACGCUGAUGCACGAAAGCAUGGGGAGCAAACAGGAUUAGAUACCCUUGUAGUCC
rnacentral:rRNA from 1 species